UAAUGCAUGCUGCUAAGGAUGGAAAGGUCUUGUGUAUAUUGGUUGUGCCUGAGACACCAGUCACAGUUGUACCUUAUUUCCAUUUUAGAAGCAAGGAAUGUGGAGCUAAUGCAUGCUGCUAAGGAUGGAAAGGUCUUGUGUAUAUUGGUUGUGCCUGAGACACCAGUCACAGUUGUACCUUAUUUCCAUUUUAGAAGCAAGGAAUGUGGAGCUAAUGCAUGCUGCUAAGGAUGGAAAGGUCUUGUGUAUAUUGGUUGUGCCUGAGACACCAGUCACAGUUGUACUUUAUUUCCAUUUUAGGGAGUCUAUAUACACUUGAGAGGUGAGCGUCAGAUUUAAUUUUGAAGAUUGAUGACUUUCAGAUGUUGUGAUGAAGAUUGUUGAAAGAGAUUAUCAACAUAGAACCAAUCCGUAUGAAUGUGCAAGUCAGGACUUGUACAACACCUGAGUACCCAGAUGACUGUUGAACUAAUUGGUGAACAAGAAAAGAUGUCAGAGAGGGGAAUCCAAAACAGAUGUCAUGAUCAAGAAAAUGUACUGUUAUCAAUGAUAUGAUCAAAAAUUUGUAAACUUGUAGUGAUUUAGAAUAUCUUAUCUGUAAUAUAACUCUUCAAUACUUAAUUGUUCACACAUUAUCAUCUUAUCUGUAUAUUAAUCGCCCCCUCUUAUAUAACCCCCUGCUGAUUGUAAUGACCUGUGUAUUGAUUCCUGAUCUUAAGGAUCUUAUACAUGUAAUGUGCUCCUGAUCGUCAGGAGCGGAUCUUGAGUACAGGUGUAUAUAUAUAGUGCGACAGAAUUUUAGAAUAAGAUAGGAAGAUGGAAAUAUAGAAGACU